GCUGAGUGAUUAGACUGAUAUCAUCGAACACAGUUUUGAUUUGUGGCCGACCUGGUCUGACCUGCAACAUCUUGGUUCCAAAGGCUGUUAGGAUCAUCCAUUGGGUCAGCUUUAUCCAAGAUGGGUGAAGGCCUCUUCCCCCACCAGAAGGGCCAGUGUCUGGAGAUGUUUCAGCUGGAAAGAUGGCCAAGCUCGAAUAAGCAGAUUUAUAUAAAUCUCAUUGUUUCCAUAUUAAUAAAAUGAGCCGCUGGGCACAGUGGCUCAUGCCUGUAAUCCCAGCACUUUGGGAGGCCAAGAUGGAUGGAUCAUGAGGUCAGGAGUUCAAGACCAGCCUGGCCAAGAUGGUGAAACCCCGUCUCAACUAAAAAUACAAAAAUUAGCUGGGCAUGGUGGUGGACGCCUGUAAUCCCAGCUACUUGGCAGCCUGAGGCAGGAGAAUCGCUUGUACUCGGGAGUUGGAGAUUGCAGCAAGCCGAGAUCACACCACUGCACUCCAGCCUGGGCGACAGAGUGAGACUCCAUCUCAGGAAAAAAAAAAAAUGAGCCGGGAUCUUUGAUGACUUUAUAUUUUACAUGGAGGCUGUUAUUAUGAUGCAAGGACUUGUUCUUUCGGCUCUAAGACCAGAAGGAAAAUAAAAUGGGAUAGUAUAUUAAAAUGCAAUGUGGGACAAAGCAGUGCUAUAUGUGACCAGUGAAAAUGUUUGCAGUUCUUUCUCUAUAAGAAGAUGAUUUUGCAUCCCAUAUUUGCUAAUACUGCACUCCACUGAGCCCAAUGAGAAGUUAUCAAUACUUUAUCAUAUGAAAGCGUGUUGAAAUUUCUCAUAUAUUGUCUGGUUCAGCCUUCAAAGCAGCCAUGUCAGGUUAAGCAGGGCAGUUAUGAUUUCUAUUUUUCAAAUGGUUCAGUGGCAUGUGUAGUGCACACAGAUAGUAAUGGGAACAGCUGCAUAUUCACACCUCCGUGGAAGUUUCCACGCCACACUGGGUGUCCUUUCACAUAAUUCCCCUCUGUUAUCAGCAUAAUCCAGAAAUGCCACAAAGUAACAUCCAUAACCCCCAAGCAACAUGAAAACGACAGCUACUGCUAAAAUCCAUUUGCAUUAAACCAGCACUAACAUGAAAUCCACACAUUUGAUUUUUUUUUCUUCAUGUCCCAGUGGAUAUCUCAGAAUAACAGGGCACUUCUGAUCUGGUUUCUAUGAAUUUCUUAUGAGCUACAACUGUGCUAUUCAAAGUGUGGUCCACAGAUCAGCAGCAGCAGCGUCACCUGGGACUGUGUCUGAAUGCAGAAGCUCAGGCUCCAGCCCAGACCCACUGAAUACAGAGCCUGUGUUUUCACGACAGCCCCGCAUGAUUCAUACGCAUGUAGUGAGUUGAGAGCCGCCGCGUCUACAACUCAUGCUUUCGCUCAGCCCUGCCUGUUGUAGGUAGUGAGUUUGUGGUUUAAAUCUAAGAAGAGGGGAGGAGAAGCGCACAGGCGGGACAUACCUGCGUGCUCACUUUCAGUAGGGACUGGAGGAGAAGACAGUUUGGAGACAGGGAAAAACCGUGGAAGACAGAACCUGGAGAAGAGUUGGGAACCUCAGAGGAGGUUGCAAAUAGCUGUCUGUGGACAUCUGGUUUGUGGUCUCAAGGAAACAGAGACAAUAUUGAUUUUUGAAACAAGAGGGGCUCCAAGUGCCUGUUAUUCGGGAGCACUUUGAGAAACACUGCAGGGCUCCUGAAGGAGGACAGAGUCAGGCUAACCAUCUCUAGAUGCAGUGACCUGCCAAAUGGGCUGUUGGGCUGGAAGAAAUGCAGAUUGCUUAUUGCUUCCAUUUAUCCCCGGGCUCCUCUCCUGUCAUCCUCCUUUCUCGGCUUCUGCAGUCCCAGCUCUGGGCAUGAGACUUACGGCUCCCUCGAUCCAGCAUCAGGACCUCCCCUCUAGUUGUACUAACUUGGCUCCCUCUUGAAGCUCAGAAUUUAUGCAACCAAAGCCCAGAUUCCUUCACUGGUGGGUCUGAAACCAACCCCCUCCUCUCCUGCUCUGCUCUUCCUGGCCUGCAUCUUCGCUUUGCAGGAGGUGCCAGACGUCAAAUUGCCCCACAUUCUGUGGCUUCGGGACCCAGGCAAACGUCCAUGAAGGAGAAACUUGUAACCACUGGGACGCGGGAUGAAUGCAGGGCCCUGGACUCUGUUGUGGGCAAAUACGUUGAGCGAUUUGAAAUGACUCUCCCGGGAGCUGGUUGUCAAAUUUUUGGUGUGUUCAGGAAAUGUCUGCCACAUUUUACAUCAACAUUUUCAAACGCUGCUUAAAACUCUACUCAAAUCCAACUUCCUCCCUGAAGCCGUCUGCCCAGCGGGGAUCAAUGUCUCCUUCUAGCUCCUGGUACAACUUCUGCAGUUAUAUUAUGUGAGGUUCUGCUUUCUCAUAUGCUGACUGCUGGCUUAGACACAUUCUCUUCGUUCAUCUUCCCACCACACCUGCACAAGAAGAAAUGGGAGCUCAGCUCCAUCAGCCUGCUGGAGGUCAGGCAGCUAUGACGGGGCAGGAGCAGUAUUUGAACUCAGGACUAUGUGCUCCGAAGCCUGUUCUUGUCUCUGUAUUAAUGGUUCUCAAAGUGUGGUCCUUGGACCAGCGGUAUCACCUGGGAACUUGUUAAAAAUAUAAGUUAUCAGGCCCUACUCCAGACGUAUGGAAACAAAAACUUCGUGGUUGAGGCCCAGAAAUCUGUAUUUUAACAGGCCCCUUGGGGAUUCUGGUGCAUGCUUAAGUUUGAGAACCACUCUUCCAUACCCAGCUUGCUUCUGAUGUAUGGUUCUGUGAUAUGUGUUAUCUUGGUCACUAGACUGUAAGCUACCUGAGGGCAGGACUUCUGCCUUAUUCACUUGGGAGCAAGACACUAUACUAGGUGCUGCUGUGGAAAUGUAACAAGAGUAACAGCGGACAUUUAUUGAGCUCUUCACGCCACAUGGCAUGCUAAACCUUCAUGUGGUUUAUAUUAUUGAAUUCUCAGAAUAACCCCUUGAGGUCAGCACUAUUAUUAUCUGCCGUUUACAGAUCAGGACACUGAAACUCAAGUGGGUGAAGCAGCUUGCUUAAAAUCCAAUGCCAUGCAUGAGGAAGCUGGGAUGUGAACCCAGAGGUUCUGACUCCAGAGCCCGUGCUCUUACCCAGCAGGCUGCCCUGUUCAGUGCAUGCUUCCCGAAUUGACUAUAACCAUCUGACCUCUUCCAUGCAUCACGUGAAGAAAAAGUCUCAACUGUAAAUAAGGGGAGAAAUGUACACAGAGCAGCUUGCGAGGAUAGAGAGGGCUUGGAUGUCUUUCUGAAAGGAAGCCAUCAUUUUCUUUCUUUUCUCUAGAGACAGGGUCUCGUUUCAUCACCCAGGCUGGAGUGCAGUGGUGCAAUCAUGGCUCACUGCAGCCUUGAACUCCUGGGCUCAAGCAAUCCUCCUGCCUCAGCCUCCCAAGUAGCUGGGACUGCAGGUGUAUGCCACCAUGCCCAGCUAAUUUUUUUUUGUUGUUUUUGUGGUGGGGUCUUGCUGUGUUGCCUAGACUGACCUCGAACUCCUGGCCUCAAGCAAUCCUUCUGCCUUGGCUUCCCAAAGUGCUGGGAUUAUAGGCAUGAGCCAUUGAGACUGGCCAGAAGGUAUCCUUUUUUUAGAGAAACUAAAAGCAUUCUCAAGCUCCCUUAAUUUCACUUCUGAUAGAUGAGUUAUCUUGACCUCCUGUUCAGGAUAGGGCCAAAUCUACUCAGUCCUGUUGUAUCCAGGGUACUUAAAUGUCUUGAAUUCCUGCACCAGAAGGUACAGUCUUCUGGGGAGUCACAGUAGGGGGUGAGGGGGCACAGGGGAGAGGAGGGUCUACAGGUUAGGACUCCAGCAGUGAUGCUUGAAUUUGAAUCAUGAUUGUGCUGCUUGAAAUCAAUGUCAUUUUAGAUAUAAGCUGCUUACACUUUCUGGAACUCGGUUUCUUCAACUGUAAAAUGGAAAUAAUGAUAAUAGCUGUUUUAUUUGUGCUGAGCAGGAAUGAGACUGUGGCUGGGAGAAUGCUUUAUAAAUCAAAAGGGAUGUCUGGAAAGUUCAGUGUUCUUUCCUGGACCAUUGGGAGUUGCAGCGUAGGGAGGUAUUGAGGAGGUGCCCACCAGUCUUGAUUUCUAACCUGAGAUUCUUUUUUUGUUUUGAGCUGGAGUUUCACUCUUGUUGUCCACAAUGGAGUACAGUGACACGGUCUCAGCUCACUGCAAUCUCCCGGGUUCAAGGAUUCUCUUGCUUCGGCCUCCCGAGUAGCUGGGAUUACAGGCACCCCCCACCACACCCAGCUAAUUUUUGUACUUUUAGUAGAGACGGGGUUUCACCAUGUUGGUCAGGCUGGUCUCAAACUCCUGACCUCAGGGGAUCCACCCACCUCAGCCUCCCAAAGUGCUGGGAUUACAGGCGUGAGCCACCAUGCCUGGCCCAACCUGAGAUUCUUUUCUGCCAGACUUCCUUCCUUAGAACACAAACAUGUGAUUUCUCAGUGCUUGCCAGAGAUGCAGACCUGUUCCUCUGAGGCUGGAAAUGACUUCACGGUACUUUUCAAACAGUAAUUAUCUACAGAAAAGCGCCCUGAGACCCUCGGAGACCAGGAGCCGAGAACCCCUUAUAAGGACACGAUGCUGUUUCUCAUCCCAACCCUCAAGAUAAGGGCGUUUCUCUGCCUGGAUUUGUAGAAUCCAAUUUGGAUGCCUGGAUUCUGGGUUUCCCCCAUGGAACAGACUCCUUCCCCCUCCUUCUCACCCAUCCCUCUUCAGGCACCAAAGCCCCUUCCAAAAUGUCUUCACCUUUCACAUGACACCAGCACUCAAAUCCACCAUUCCAAAUAAAUGAGAAAGAAACCCCUUUCCGCCAGGUUUUGCUUGUGCCCCGGCAACCCAAAGCUAGGAUACAGUUUCAUGGCAGGGCACAUGUGUGUGUAAUUGCUACCUGAGAGGAAGACCAGGAGAGCCUGCUCGAAAUGGGGUGUUAAUGAUAAGCACCACAAGAUUUGUUACUGUAGUGAAGCCCCAUCUGGAUGGACUACAUUAAGUUGCUUUUUAAUGUGGCCCUUUGAUGUGGCCCUUCAUAGAGUCCCUCCAGUGCUUGUUAGUUAGGGAGCAUCCCACGAUAGAAAAAAAAGCAAGAACAAAACCAUAAACGAGAACAAGAACCACCCCUUUUGCUCAGCUGAAACACUACAAUCAUGCUAGUUUACCCACCUGUCAGCUUCUUUCAGACCUGUGACCACAUCUAGGGAUAGGCUUCCUUAGAGGAAAGGAACUUGAAACUGUGUUUCUGGAUGCAUUGUUUUAAGCAUCAAUUAUUUUUUUUUUUUUUUUUUGAGAUGGAGUCUUGCUCUGUCGCCCAGGCUGUGGCACGAUCUCCGCUCACUGCAAGCUCUGCCUCCCAGGUUCACGCCAAUCUCCUGCCUCAGCCUCCUGAGUAGCUGGGACUACAGGCGCCCACCACCACACCCAGCUAAUUUUUUGUAGUUUUAGUAGAGACGGGGUUUCACCAUGUUAGCCAGGAUGGUCUCGAUCUGCUGAGCUCAUGAUCCGCCCGCCUCAGCCUCCCAAAGUGCUGGGAUUAUAGGCCUGAGCCACCAAGCCCGGCCCUUAAAUAUCAACUAUUGAGCAGUUAAUGAGGAAUCGGAAUAUCUAGCAUUUAGUCAGAAAUGUGAGGUUUGGAAAAGACUAACUUGAACAAAUUUCAGGAAGAUUUAUGAGUAGUAGCUUUUCCAUCUGUAAAAUAGGCUUCAUAAUACCUGUCCAAUCUCAUUUUAUCCUUCCAAAAAUGCUGGGCAUGGUGGCUCAUAUCUGUAAUCUCAGCACUUGGGGAGGCUGAGGUGAGAGGAUUGCUUGAGUCCAGGAGUUCAAGACCAGCCUGGGCAAUAUAGUAAUACUCUGUCUCUACACAAAAUUAAAAUGUUUUUCAGGCAUGGGGUGCACACCUCUAGUCCCAACUACUCAGGAGGCUAAAGUGAGAGGAUCACUAGAGCCCAGGAGGUUGAGGCUGCAGUGAGCUGUGAUGGUACCACUGCACUCCAGCCUGGGUGACAGAGCCAGACCCUGUCUCAAAAAAACAAAAACAAAAACAAACAAACAAACAAAAAGGGAAAGUAACCCAAAAGAAAAUAAAAGAAGAAAACUCUUUGAGGUGAUAUAUCCAUAGAAUGAUAGCAUUGAAAGAAACCAUAGUUAGAGUUUAGGUCCAACCACCUCAUUUUCUGAACCAGAAGACAGAAUCGCAAAAAAAACCAGAGCAUCCUGCCUGAGGACACAGAAUUGCUGAGUAGUAGGAGGAAGAAGAACCCAGAUUUUCCAGCUUUGAGAAGGAUGGUGGUUAGUUAGAAUUUUGGCUAAAACAGAGCCUUGCUAAUUCCUAAUCUCUCCUCUGCAAAUGACUUCAGUCUCAUUUUCCUAAGCAGCAGAGCCAUUUGGCUGGCACAAAGUGUGGCUGUGGCCCUGGCAUUCUCCACGGAAUGAGAAAUUUAUCCCACUUCUGUUCUCAUCCUACGUGCCAAGCAAACAAACCAUCUUGUUGACUGCAGACAUGGCCUCGGGAAUCCUAGCCAGCCAGAAAAACCAUUCCGUCUCUCUUGAUGAGGAAACCAGUGCUUGGAAUUCAAUAGAUGUAAUUUAAAUAGGCUGAAUCCAAAUAAAAUUCUACAUUUUCUUAGCUAUGACAUCUUACUUACUUUUUCUUUUAUGAAGACAUGCUGUAGAGUGAAUGUAUAUGUCCUCCUGAAAUUCACAUGUUAAACCUUAAUGCCCAAGAUGAUGGUGUUUGGAGGUGGGACUUUUAGGAGUAAAUUAGGUCAUGAGGAUGGAGCCCCUCAUGAAAAAAAUUAAUGUCCUUGUAGAAGAGGAUUGAAGGAGCUCACUCUUCCCUUCCACCAUGUGAAGACAAGCAAGAAGAUGGCCAUCUAUAAGAAGUGGGCAGUCCCCAACCACCAGAUCUGUCCAUGUCUUGAUCUUGGACUUCCCAGCCUCCAGCACUGUGAGAAAUAAAUGUUUAUCAUUUAUAAGUUACCCAGUGUAUGGUAUUUUUGUUACAGCAGCCCAAACAGACUAAGGCAAAACAGGACAAUUAGCUUGAUAAAACAGGGAAUAGUUGGAGCCUUCCAUUGUGGUUGGGACCUGUUUGAGUGUCUGCGUUCCUGUCAGAGAAAUGAUAGUUUUAAUCGUGUAGUCCUCCCAAAAAAGUAAAAUUGCGGGUCCAACUUUGGAAUUUACUUCAGCCAACUGACGUUGCACAAAUAAAUAAAUUUUCUUUCUCUCAUUUAAAAGCAAAAAGAGAUUUCUAGAAUGUUUGCGGUGUGUGGCAAAUGGGAGAUGUUAAUGUUUUCUAAAUGCUCUCAAGAAAGACCCGAUGUUCAUUGGUGUUCAUCUAUAUUCUGAG
rnacentral:lncRNA from 1 species